CCGCGCCAACGCCGUGCCCCUGCCUGGCAGAAAUGCCACCCGGCCCCUGGCAGAAACGCCUCGCCUCUCCUGCGGAGGGAGGGGCUGAUGACCCAGGAAGCGGCUGGCUGCCGGUUUUCACCAUCUGGAGAAUGGGGAUACUACCCUAGUCUGACCACUGUGACGUCCAAAUGAGCCAGUCAGCACACAUCAGGUGCUCCAGGAGCGUCCGGCACACAGGUGCUUGUCUCUGUCCUGCGCUUCAGCUCCAUCAGUGUCUUCUUCGGACCUGUCAUUGGCUUGGGGCAAGGAUACAUGUGGCCGCUGAGGGCGGUCUGCAAGGUAUGGCAACCAUGGAGCUGCUAAGUAGACCCUGUGAGUGGGAGGCCCUGUGGGGUGGGCAGGGGCAGAUGCCCAGCUGCUCUCGGGGACACUCCAGGCCUGCGCUGCCCUCCACACCCCAGUCGGCAAGUGGUGACCAGAUGUCAACCACGGGAGGCAUUUCUAGAGGCCACAGCUCUAGAGGGAGGUCUCUCACGGGCUGACAGAGCCAGCGCUCCAGUUUGCCUCAAACAACGUGCACAGUCCUCGGUCACGUCGAGGACCUGCUCAGCCCUGAAAACGAAUAACGCAGCCUCUCCACUUGGCACUGGAGAGAGGAUGACUCACGGCCCUUCUGCCUGGAAGGCAGGCUCCGGCAUCAAAUGUCCAUCCGCCUCCAUCACCCUCAUCCAUCCUUGUCAGUCCAGGGGCCCAGGCACUGCUGGGGCUGCUGGGCAGGCAGUUCUCACUUGCAAAUGAGUGGGACCCUCAGUCCUUCCAUCAACAUCCUCACGUCAGCUGAGCCUGUGCGCACCCCUAGGCAAGGCCUUUGAGCUGGGCAUGCAACACCUCUUCCCACCCAGGCACCCUCCUCCUAGGACACCCCCCCCCCGCCCCGCCCCGCCCCGCCCCAUCCUGGGGACAUGCCCCGCUUCCCUCUCUGGCAAGUCCCUGCACAACCCUGAGACCACCUGAUAGUCUAUCCUGCCCAACCUCCCCAGAAGCACCAACAGCACCUCACCCCAGCCAUGGCAGGUCUCUGCACCCCUCACCCCAGUCGCCACUCUCACAUCUCACGAACAGAGACACUAGCUGCUUCCUCACGUUCCCUGUGCCCGUCCUGGAAGAUCCCUGCCUUUAAACCCCAGCCACGAACUGCUGACCUCUGGUUUCCUCUUCCCUCCCCGGGCAAGAGGGGCAGAAGGGGCAGGGACACACACUCCGGGCCACAGGCAGAGGCUUGGCCAGGGUCCUCCUCCCAGCAGUGCCUCCCUGGAGCUGUCUACCUCAACUCCUGAUGCCAGAGGAUCCCUCUGCGCUCCCCAAGCCCUUAAGACCCCAGCUCAGGGAAUCUGGUCUCAGUCAUCACUCCCAAGGGACUGCAGGGCCCCAGGACGGCACACAUUCAGGCCCAGGAGAGCUCUCCCCAUCUCAGAGCCUGCCCAGCGCGGGUGGAAAUGGAAUGUGGAAGAACCACAUCCUCCGCAGCUCCCCCACAGUAAGAGCGAGGACUGAGCGGUGUGGAUAAGGUUCCAGGAAGGAGGUGUAAACACGGGAAGGUGGAAGAGCUCCGGGCGGGUCCA